AGGUUGUUCUGUUAGUCUUUUGUUAAAUCCCCGAGCUUAACUUGGGAAUCGCGAAGGAAACGGCAGAACUUGAAAGUGCAAGAGGCGUACGGAACUCAUGGUGUAGGGGGGAAAUCCGUUGAUAUCAGCCGGAAUACCAAAGGCGAAGGCAUCUUGCUGGAAUUUUCCUGACCCUGAAAGAACGAAAGCGUGGGUAGCGAAUGGGAUUAGAUACCCCAGUAGUCCACGCCCUAAACGAUGAGUGCUCGCUGUUUGAAGUAUCGACCCUUCAAGUGGCUUAGCUAACGCGUUAAGCACUCCGCCUGGGAAGUACGAGCGCAAGCUUAAAACUCAAAGGAAUAGACGGGGACUCGCACAAGCGGUGGAGCAUGUGGUUCAAUUCGACAAUAACCGAAAAACCUUACCUGGCCUUGACACUCUAACAAUAACCUCGCGAAAGCAAGGUGUGUUCACAAGACGGUUAGAGCAGGUACUGCAUGGUUGUCGUCAGCUCGUGCCUUGAGGUGUUCCGUUAAGUCGGGAAACGAGCGCAACCCCUGUUGCCAGUUACAAGUGUCUGGCGAUACUGCCCCGAGAGACGGGGAGGAAGGAGGGGACAACGUCAAAUCAGCAUGGUCCUUUGAUGGCCAGGGCUACACACGUGCUACAAUGGGAAAUACAAAGGGUUGCCAAGCCGUAAGGCGGAGCUAAUCCCAUCAAAAUUUCCCCCAGUUCAGAUUGAGGGCUGCAACUUGCCCUCAUGAAGAUGGAAUCGCUAGUAAUCGCGGAUCAGCAUGCCGCGGUGAAUACGUUCUCGAGUCUUGUACUCACCGCCCGUCAUACCAAGGGAGCCGGGAAUGCCUUAAUUCUGACUUUAUGUCGGACCACGGUAAGCUCGGUAACAAGGGUGAAGUCGUAACAAGGCAUCGCUAGCGGAAGCUGGUGAUGGAUCAUCUCCUUU
rnacentral:rRNA from 1 species